CAAACAUGAUGAUACCUGAGAACGGUUUUGCUUUCUUAACUGAUGUCGUGUGAUGUCAUGAUUCUCUUGGCUAUCUGAUUUA